rnacentral:RNase_P_RNA from 1 species
CGAGGCGGACGGGUGACCGCCGACCUAAUAAGCGGUUGGAGGAAAGUCCGGGCUCCAAAGAGCAGGGCGCUGGGUAACACCCAGUCGGGGCGACCCGAAGGAAAGUGCCACAGAAAUUACACCACCGGUAGGGCGUGUCUCCGGAGACGCACUGUCAGGUAAGGGUGAAAUGGUGGGGUAAGAGCCCACCGGCGGCCGGGUGACCGGCCGGCCAGGCAAACCCCGCCCGGAGCAAGACCAAAUAGGAGGGCGUUCACGGCGGCUCGCCGAGCCCACGGGUUUCGGUCGCUAGAGGCGCCGGGCAACCGGCGUCCCAGACAGAUGGUCACCGUCCCGCAAGGGACACAGAACCCGGCUUACAGUUCGCUCUCGGCCC